AGCAGAAAUUCCAAUCUCUAUUCAAAGAAUUCACAGCAUCUCGAACUUUCUUCUUGAGCACUCCUUGACCAGCUUCGUUACAUAGCACUGAUGUUGGGAAGUUCAUUUUGAUUCUGAAUACACGCUGCGCUGGUGUGGCACCUGAGCAACAGAUAUAACAGUAUGAUACAUGAAUUAGAACAACAAAUGAAAAAGAAAAAUACGAGAAGCAAUUUAACGUUAAACUUACUUGUACAAGCUGGAUAGAUGAGAGGAAGGGACGGAUCGUUGGUUGGUCUCCAGAAUCCUUCAGCUCCGCAGAUAACUAAGACAAGGUACUUACUAAGCAGGAAGAGAUCUUCCACUUCCAUAACCUUCCGUCUUGCUGGCAAUUAGACCCUCUGUUAUUAAGACCAAUUCUCCACCGUUUUCACCAUUCCAAACUACAGCAACGUGAUGCCACUGGCCAUCGUUAAUCGUUGCAUACUCUCUGAAUGGCAGAUAAACAUCUUGCAGAUCGUGGAAUAACGACACUUGGACUCCAUUGCUGUGUGCCUGGAUCAUAAGUCUUCUAUUUAUAGGAACGUGUGGAGAGCUGAA
rnacentral:misc_RNA from 1 species